rnacentral:lncRNA from 1 species
UGAGGAUCUUAGCUGUCCCGUGACACUUCCUACGGCUGCCAUAGGUUCUCAGAAGGCGGCAAAACGCUGAAUCUUGGCUUUGCAGGCUCUGGCUGAAACAAAGUAGCGCGUUUGGGUAGUGGCUGGUUACAGUACUGUGAGACUCAGGCUCGUGCCCGCGUCGACCGAAAGGUUUGUUUUCUUUCCUCUGUUUAGCUAAAUGGACAUUCCCGGUCGGAAUAUUAUCGCUUUUUUACGAGAAAAAUGGCAUAAAAAUGGAUUUUAAACAGCGGUUGACAUGCUUCGAAGUACGGUAAUGGAAUAUUUAGAUUUUUUUUGUCACGAAUUGCACCAUGCGCACGACCCUUCUUUACCAUUCGGAUAGUGUCUGGGACGCACAAACAAAACGCCGCUAUUCGGAUAUAACGAUGGAUUAUUUUGGACCAAACCAACAUUUGUUAUUGAAGUAGCAGUCCUGGGAGUGCAUUCUGACGAAGACAACAAAAGGCUCUGAGAGUGAAUGAGGACAGUCACGGGUUGGAGAGAGGCUGAAGAAUAUACUGUACUCAGAAUGAUGACAGCUUCUCCAUCCUAGAGCGGGAGAUCAACAAUGUCCUGGCUCAGGGACAUGUACUAGUCUGUGACGACCUAAAUUCCAGAACUGGACAAGAACCCGACACCCUCAGCACACAGGGGGACAAACACCUACCUGGAGAUGACGGCAUUCCCUCCCCCAUAUGCCCCUCUAGACACAACUACGACAGCAUAACCAACAAAAACGGGUCACAACUCCUGCAGCUCUGUCGGACGCUGGGUAUGUACAUAGUCAAUGGUAGGCUUUGAGGGAACUCCUAUGGUAGAUACACCUAUAGCUCAUCUCUUGGCAGUAGUACUGUAAUCUGCUUUAUCACUGACAUCAACACAGAGACUCUUAAAGCAUUCACAGUCAGUCUGCUGACACCCCUA